rnacentral:rRNA from 1 species
AUGGCCGCGAGCGUCGAGCAAGUCCUUGGGUGGUUCCCCGGCAUCGACGCCAUCGCCAGGAUUAGGGAUGCCUCCCUCUCCGCUGUCCCGGGCUACGCCAGCGAGGACCGCAUCAGCGCCCUCCAAGACCACCUCCUCCGCGACAUCGUGUCCCGCCUCCCCGUCAAGGACGCCGCCCGCACGGCCGCGCUCGCCUCCCGCUGGCGCCAGCUCUGGCGCUCCACGCCGCUCGUCAUGUACGACGCCCACCUCCUCCCAGCCGGCGACCCCGCGCGCGUCGCCGCCGUCGCCCGCAUCCUCGCCGACCACCCGGGCCCCUUCCGCACCGUCAGCAUCACCUGCUGCAAUUUCGCGUCGCACGAGCGUGAGCUCGCCGAGUGGCCGCGCCUCCUCGCCGCCAAGGGCGUCCAGGACCUCGUCCUCGUCAACAAGCCCGCCGACGACGAACGCCUCCCCGACGUCCCCGCCGACAUCCUCCGCUGCGCCUCGCUCCGGCGCCUCUUCCUGGGAUUCUGGACGUUCCCGGACACCGGCGUCAGCCCACCCGGUGGAGGCGCAGACGGAUUUCCACACCUCCGGGAGCUCAGCUUGCUCGCCUCCAGCCCCGUUCUCGACACCCUCGCGCUCGUCCUCAGCCCAACCUGCGAGCGCGUCCACCUCCGCAGCCAAAGCCUCAAGUGCGUGCUCCUCUGGGAGUGCUUCGUGAAGGAGGUCCUCGUCAUGGACUCCCCGCUCCUGGAGCGGCUCAUUAUGUGGAAAACCAUUGAUGGUGAAGACGACCCGGUGGCUGUGAGGGUCAGCAUUGCUGACGCGCCGAAGCUGCGGGUGCUGGGUUACUUGGAGCCGAGAGUUCACCAGCUGCAGAUUGGUGAGAAUGUCAUCAAGCCUGAUACAAUGGUGAGCCCAAGCACCGUGUUUCCAAGCGUCAAGACAUUGGCCUUGAAGGUGAACUUUGGUGUCUUUGAGGAGGUCAAGAUGCUGGCCUGUGUCCUCAGAUGCUUUCCCGAAGUUGACAGGCUGCACAUCGAGUCUGUCACGGCCAAUGAACCCACUGAAUUGCACCAUGCUGAGUUCUGGCAAGAGGUCCAUCCUAUCGAAUGUGUGAAGUCACACGUCAAGAAGGUGGUUAUCCAUGAAUUCCGCGGAAAACAAAGCGAAAAUGAAUUCCUCGAGUUUGUUAGCAGCAGUGCAGAGAAGCUGCGGUCUUUGCUUGUUGUGAUUACCCAAGAAAUGUUUGCGUCGGCAUGGGAUUUCUCAAUUUCAUUGCCAAAUGAGGUGAAUGAGGUGAUUGUCAAAGCAGGGGCUCUAACGCGUGGAGCAUGGGCCUGCGAGGACUGUCAACUGGUGGUGGCGGGUCCUAAAGUGUUGGAUGGUUGGAACUUCCGCAGAGCGUCUGAUCCCUGUGUUAAGGACCCUUUCCGCUGA